GCAUAACUUAUAAAUUCAAAUAUUACAGUCAAGAAAAGGGAGGGAAAGCCCUUUUUUUGUGUGGGGAAAAUGCAUCAAUCGACGAGGCAUAUUUUCCUAAAACUUCUCCCGGCUUAAACAUAACAUGCAUGUAGCUAUUUUUUGUGAAUUUAGAUUCUUUUUGAGUUAUACUUUACCCUGCAUAGCGGCAUCUUAUGGGGUAGGCAUCUAGAAAAGUUUGGAGGAAAUGGUGCUUUCCCCUAUCAAUUGGCUGAAUGUGAUGUCGGACUGGUGGAGAAUUUUGUUGAAAUCUAGCACAACGGCAUACGACAUCCAAGAUAUUGAUGAAGCUUUAUCUGUUCAGUUUUGUCAAGGAGGUAUAUUACAGUGUUCAGGAAUAUACAUUUCUUAUCGGAAUUUUGAAGGCGUUUUUUCUACUGGAGAUUCUGAUUAGAAGAAGACCACUAUGAUGCAAGAAAAGAAAGAUGUUGCUUGCUGGUCAACUAAGACUUUUCCUGUAAUUUAUUUUCACAGGACUUACUUUGUAAAUAGCUCAUCAUCAUAAGUUGAAGUUGACAGCAGACUGUGACUUCAAAAUUGUUGGAAAUGUCGAACUAAUUCCAGGUUCUUAGUUUUCGUGUUCUUUAAUGACACAUAUUCAUGGUGUUAAAGCUUUGUUAGCGA